UGACCUUGCGCUAAUAGAUGAGCCUAAGUCGGAUUAGCUAGUUGGUGGGGUAAAGGCCUACCAAGGCGACGAUCUGUAGCGGGUCUGAGAGGAUGAUCCGCCACACUGGGACUGAGACACGGCCCAGACUCCUACGGGAGGCAGCAGUGGGGAAUAUUGGACAAUGGGGGGAACCCUGAUCCAGCCAUGCCGCGUGUGUGAAGAAGGCCUUUUGGUUGUAAAGCACUUUAAGCGAGGAGGAGGCUCUCUUGGUUAAUACCUGAGAAAAGUGGACGUUACUCGCAGAAUAAGCACCGGCUAACUCUGUGCCAGCAGCCGCGGUAAUACAGAGGGUGCGAGCGUUAAUCGGAUUUACUGGGCGUAAAGCGCGCGUAGGUGGCUAAUUAAGUCAAAUGUGAAAUCCCCGAGCUUAACUUGGGAAUUGCAUUCGAUACUGGUUAGCUAGAGUAUGGGAGAGGAUGGUAGAAUUCCAGGUGUAGCGGUGAAAUGCGUAGAGAUCUGGAGGAAUACCGAUGGCGAAGGCAGCCAUCUGGCCUAAUACUGACACUGAGGUGCGAAAGCAUGGGGAGCAAACAGGAUUAGAUACCCUGGUAGUCCAUGCCGUAAACGAUGUCUACUAGCCGUUGGGGGAUUUGAUCCUUUAGUGGCGCAGCUAACGCGAUAAGUAGACCGCCUGGGGAGUACGGUCGCAAGACUAAAACUCAAAUGAAUUGACGGGGGCCCGCACAAGCGGUGGAGCAUGUGGUUUAAUUCGAUGCAACGCGAAGAACCUUACCUGGCCUUGACAUAGUAGAAACUUUCCAGAGAUGGAAAGGUGCCUUCGGGAAUCUACAUACAGGUGCUGCAUGGCUGUCGUCAGCUCGUGUCGUGAGAUGUUGGGUUAAGUCCCGCAACGAGCGCAACCCUUUUCCUUACUUGCCAGCAUUUCGGAUGGGAACUUUAAGGAUACUGCCAGUGACAAACUGGAGGAAGGCGGGGACGACGUCAAGUCAUCAUGGCCCUUACGGCCAGGGCUACACACGUGCUACAAUGGUCGGUACAAAGGGUUGCUACACAGCGAUGUGAUGCUAAUCUCAAAAAGCCGAUCGUAGUCCGGAUCGCAGUCUGCAACUCGACUGCGUGAAGUCGGAAUCGCUAGUAAUCGCGGAUCAGAAUGCCGCGGUGAAUACGUUCCCGGGCCUUGUACACACCGCCCGUCACACCAUGGGAGUUUGUUGCACCAGAAGUAG
rnacentral:rRNA from 1 species